rnacentral:rRNA from 1 species
UACGUAGGGUGCAAGCGUUUAAUCGGAAUUACUGGGCGUAAAGCGUGCGCAGGCGGUUUUGUAAGUCUGUCGUGAAAUCCCCGGGCUCAACCUGGGAAUUGCGAUGGAGACUGCAAGGCUAGAAUCUGGCAGAGGGGGGGUAGAAUUCCACGUGUAGCAGUGAAAUGCGUAGAGAUGUGGGGGAACACCGAUGGCGAAGGCAGCCCCCUGGGUCAAGAUUGACGCUCAUGCACGAAAGGCGUGGGGAGCAAACGAGG